ACUCCAGCUUGUGUCAAGUUGACACACAAAACCAGAGAGUACAGAAAAGGAAAUCGAACCUCCUGACUUUGGAGAAGUAGCAGCUGGAUAAAGGUGAUCCUUGGCAUGUCUGCUCUCUGCUCAGGCAAAGGUCUUGCUUAAGACACUGAGAGGCUCCAAGGCACCAGGAUGGGUAUGGGGCUUGCAGGACAGACUACCAAUGCAGCUGAGUACCAAGAAGACCAAGGCACCAGUGUGAGGGAGCAGCAUACUACUGUGGACUUGAAGCCUCUGCCUGUGUGCCUGCAAGGGCAGAGAUAUGCUAACAGGUGUCUUUGGGAGCUGGAGAAUAAAUGCUUAUGGCACCCAA